rnacentral:lncRNA from 1 species
UGAAAAGAAAAUUACCCAGUAUCAAUAUUAAGAAUUGACAGACAAAUUCUGAAUUUACAUACAUGCAGAAUUUUAGUGCCUGUAUCAAAUGGAUUAAUGUCGGUAUGAAUUUUCCUAAUAACCAUUUCACCUGAAGAGAGUUAUUCUCUUAUAAAAUGGUACUUCACCUCAAUGUGCUUAGACCUUUCAUGAUAGACAGGGUUCUUGCUUAACAAAAAGACACUUUACUAACAGUAAGUAUAACAGGUGAAGUAAACAAAAAAUUCAAUUCACUUAAAAUUCCUUUGAGCCAUAUACAUUCUUUAACUCAUUCAGUAAUUGCCACAUACUCAACUUCAGUAUUAGAUAAAGUGACAAUGGAUUGAAGUUGAGACUUCCAGGUGAUACAAUUAUCACCAAGUGUAAAGAAAUAAGCAGUGGUAGAUUUUCUUUGAUCCUUAUCUCCUGUAAAACCAGAAUUCACGUACCCCUUAAGGGUUAAUGGUUCUGAUCCCUUUUUGAACACUAAACCUACCUUUAGUGUCCCAGUUAUAUAUUGUAAUAGCCAUUUUAAACCAUCCCAAUAUGGUUUCCCAGGGUUGGCCAUAAACCUGCUUAAAAAAUUGAUUGAAUAUGCUAGAUCAGGUCUGGUUGUGAUCAUGGAAAACAUUACUGCUCCCAUUGUAUUAGAGUAAGGAAUAUUUCCCAUGUCUUUAACUUCAAAUUCAGUUUUAGGGCAUUGGGCUGAGGAGAGAUUCAUGUGAGCGGCAAGUGAAACAUUAACAGACUUUGCCUCUUUCAUGCCAAAUUUUGAUAUCACUUUAUGCAGGUAAGAUUCUUAAGUUAUUGUUAACCCGUCUUUCUGUCUAUUUCUAGUCAUGACCAUUCCAAGUAUUUUCUGGGCAUUCCCUAAGUCUUUCAUUUCAAAUUCUGAUUUUAGGAGGUUCUUCAUCUUAUUAUUUCGAUCUUGCUUGAACUGGCCAGCAGCAUAUCAUCUACAUAUUAGAGUAGAUAUCGCUGCCAGGUUUAGAGUUGUAGUAAUAUAAGCAAUGAUCAUACUCAUUUCUCCUAAAACUAAUUUUCACAACAUAUGUGUCAAACUGGAGACCAUUCCAAGUAUUUUCUUGGCAUUCCCUAAGUCUUUCAUUUCAAAUUCUGAUUUUACGAGGUUCUUCAUCUUAUUAUUUCGAUCUUUCUUGAACUGGCCAGCAGCAUAUCAUCUACAUACUAGAGUAGAUAUCACUGCCAGGUUUAGAGUUGUAGUAAUAUAAGCAAUGAUCAUACUCACUUCUCCUAAAACUAAUUUUCACAACAUAUGUGUCAAACUGGACAUACCAUUGUCUCGGACUUUGUUUGAGCCCAUACAGAGAUUUUUCCAUUUUACAAACAUAGUCAGAUUUUCCCUUUUCCUCGAAACCUUGAGAUUGACACAUAUAAUUGUCCUCAUCCAACUCCCCAUGCAAAAAUGCAAUUUUGACAUCUAAUUGUUCAAGUUCCCAAUUAAACUGAACAACUAGAGCAAACAUUAGCCUUACAAUUUUAUAUUUGAUUACAGGUGAAAAAAUUUCAUUGAAAUCAAUUCCUUUCCUUUGGGUGAACCCCUUGGCCACUAGCCUUGCCUUAUAUCUCAAAGGGUUAGUGGGGAAAAUACUUUCUUUGAGUUUAUAAAUCCACUUGCAUUGUACCACUGUCUGAUUCUUUGGUUUCUUAAUAAGUUUCCAUGUUUUAUUGCCAAUUAGGGAUUUCAUUUCUUCUCUCAUAGCCUCUUUCCAAUUCUGAGACUUAGAACUAUUAAUAGCUUCUUCAUAAGAUAUAGGUUCAGCAUGUUCUAAGUUUUCACUAAUGAUGAGGGCAAAGUCAAUUAGAUUGUUAGUUUCAUAUCUGGGAUUAGGCUUAAUCUGUCUCCUUUCCCUAUCUCUCGCUAAUUGAUAAUCUUGGGUACUGGUUUCAUUUACAGGAUUAUCUUGUGUCACAAUUUCAGUUUCAAUUUGAGAUGUUGUAACUUCACCUUCAUCUAUAUUAUCUGCCCCUUCAUUAGGUUGUACAUGUCCAAGUUCAGUUAUUUCAGUAGAAUUAUGACUCAAUCUUGCCAACUUCACCUCAUUUUGUAAAGUAAUAUUUUCAAUUACAUCUUUUUUAUCCCUUUUAUUCUUCAAGCAUGGCAUUUCAGAUUCAUUAAAUACUACAUUUCUACUGUUAAUGAUUUAAUGCCUUUCUCACCUAGUACCCAUAACCUGUACCCUUUCAGGGUAUCCCAACAUAACACAUUUGGUAGUCCUGGGGUCUAAUUUCCCUUCAACUUAAUGUGCAUAUGCAGCACAUCCGAAGACCCUGAUGUUUGACAGAUUAGGUGGCUUUCCAGUCCAUAGUUCCUGAGGGGUUUUAAACUCUAUAGAACUGCAGGGUGACCUGUUUAUAAAAUAGGCUGCAGUGCAUAAAGCUUCUGCCUAGAAACCUUUUGCUAAAUCAGAACUUAUAAGCAUACAUCCAACUUUAUUCAUAAGAGUUCUAUUCAUUCUUUCAGCUACCCCAUUCUGUUGGGGUGUAUGCUUAACAGUUCUAUGUCUAAUUAUUCCCUUUUGUUUACAAAAGUUAUCAAAUUAUACAUUACAGAAUUCCAACCCAUUAUCUACCCUUAAGGUUUUCAAUUUUCUGCCCAAUUGAUUUUCAACCAUCGUUAACCACAUUCUGAAUUUUUGAAAUGUUUUAGAUUUUGCUUUUAAGGGGUAUGUCUAGACCUUUCUAGAAUGGUCAUCAAUUAUAAAAAGAAAAUAUUUGUUUCCACCAAAAGUUGAGUGGCUUUCUGGACCCCACAAAUCUGAGUGGACAUAGUCGAAUGGUCUAUUUGUAGUGUGUGACCCCGUCUCAAAGCUGACUCUAUGAGACUUUCCAAGUACACACGUCUCACAAAAGUUAAGGGGCUCUAUUUUAUCUUUUCCAAGGAAUUUUUGAUCAUUUAGAUAUUUUAAGCCCUUAUUACUAAUAUGUCCCAUCCUACAAUGCCACAAUUCAGAUUUACUUUCAGUUAUGGUUAAGGAUUUCGAAUCCUGGGAAUUGAUAGUCUCUCCCAUCAAGUAAUACAAACAAUUUUUUUUUUGGUCCCUUCAUAACUACAAGAGAUCCUUUGAGAAUCUUCAAAGUAUUAUUUUCAGAUUGAAAAGUAUGUCCCUCAUCUUUGAGAAUUCCUAGUGAAAUGAGAUUUCCUUUUAGAUUUGGGACAUGUCUUACAUUUUUAAUCUGUCUAACAAUACCAUCGUACAUUUUGAUUGUAAUGUCACCAAUUCCAAGAACAUUUUGUGAAUUAUUAUCACCCAUAUAUACUUUCCUAGGUUCUAUCUCCUUGUAGUUAUGAAACCAAGUUUUAUUUGGAUACAUAUGAAAGGUACAUCCACAGUCAAGUAUCCAGACAGUGUCUGUUUCAUCGUUAGACACGGUCAUAACAAGAAGGCAGUCUAGUUCUAGACUUACAACAACAUUAACUGUAAUUAGGUUCUUUUAGCUUCUUCUUUAAUUCAAAGCAAUCCCUUUUGAAGUGUCCAAGUUUUCCAUAGUGAUAGCAUUUUUUGUUGCUUUUAUCUUUUGAGUUGGACCUAGCUUUGGAUUUUGAUUUGAACCACCUAUUCAAUGAAUGAUUUUCUCUUUUUUCAGUUCUCCCUCUCACAAACAGGUUCUUCUCCUUGGAAUUAGUUCUUGAUUCCUUCUUAACCUCCAACUCCCUAGAUCUUAGGGCAUUUGUUACAAUCAUUUAUGUUAAAACAUCUCUUGAAUAUUUUAUAGCAUUUCAGAUAUUUUUAUAAGAUUCAGGUAGUGAAUUUAGAAGAAUCAUAGCCAGAUCUUCAUCCUCGAAUUUCUUAUCGUUAUGGGAAAGACUCUUGACAAAAUGCUAAAGUCACUAAGAUUUGAUUCUAAGUCUUUUCCAGAAUCCAUUUUUGAAGCUAAACUGUUUCUCCAACAGGUAGAUCUUAUUAGGUGUUGUUUUAGUUAAGAACAAAGCAUCUAGUGCUUUCCACAUGGGUCGAGCAGUUUUAUGUUCUUCAACUUGUCUCGCUAUGUUAUCAGACAAAUGUAGAAUGAUUGAACUAUAUGCUAUUUCAUUCAUAUCUUCAAUUUCAACAAGCUUAGCUUUCAAUUCAUCAAGAAACUUUUCGGGAUCGUCAAGGGCUUUUGCAACCCUCUGUUGGACCAAAAUGGUUCUCAGUUUUUGUUUCCAUAUAGAGUAGUUACCGUUUCCAUCGAAUUGACUCAAUUCGACCUUCGAACCCAUUGUGGGUUCUGUAAAAGGGUUAUUACUCGAAGACAUAAGUGAUAUAAUUCAAGAAAUCACUUAAGUUACAGACAAGUUUUGAAAAAAUAAGUUUGCAGAUAAUUGACAAUUAAGCUGGCCCGAAAUGACAAACAUACAGUUAUAUAACAUGCACUGACUGAAACACAGUAACACGAAAUGAUCAAUUUCAGAUUUCCAAAAUGUUGGUAUCAAUCAAUCAGAUUACAAAAAAAUGAAAUUUCCUAAAACGUGCUUCUAUCACAAUUAAACACUAUAUCCAAUUUCUUUGAAUAAUCAAAUGACAAUAGCAUCACUGAAUUCACAUAUAUCAUUUAUAUCAUGCAAAUUGACUACUGUAGUUUAAUUGUAAAAGAUCUCAC